AUACGGAGGAUCCGAGCGUUAUCCGGAUUUAUUGGGUUUAAAGGGUGCGCAGGCGGCCAUUUAAGUCAGCGGUUAAAUCGUGGGGCUCAACCCCAUUCUGCCGUUGAUACUGGGUGGCUUGAUUGCGGUCGAGGUUGGCGGAAUUCGUUGUGUUGCGGUGAAAUGCAUAGAUAUGACGAAGAACACCGAUUGCGUAGGCAGCUGACCAGACCGCAAAUGACGCUCAUGCACGAAAGUGCGGGGAUCGAACAGGAUUAGAUACCCUGGUAGUCCGCACAGUAAACGAUGAAUACUUGUUUUCGGCGAUAUAAUGUCGGAGGCAAAGCGAAAGCGAUAAGUAUUCCACCUGGGGAGUACGCCGGCAACGGUGAAACUCAAAUGAAUUGACGGGG
rnacentral:rRNA from 1 species